UACAGAGGGUGUGAGCGUUAAUCGGAAUUACUGGGCGUAAAGCGUGCGUAGACGGUUAUUUAAGUCGGGUGUGAAAGCCCCGGGCUCAACCUGGGAAUUGCAUUCGAGACUGAAUAGCUAGGGUACGGUAGAGGGAAGUGGAAUUUCCGGUGUAGCGGUGAAAUGCGUAGAGAUCCGGAGGAACACCAGUGGCGAAGGCGACACGCUGGGCCAUACCGUGACGCUAAAGCGCGACAGCAUGGGGAGCAAACGGG
rnacentral:rRNA from 1 species